rnacentral:miRNA from 1 species
UGCGAGUCACCCCCGGGUGUUG